CCUCUGGAUUGCCCUAGGCGACCGUGCACCUCAGUGUUGGGUACUGCCACGCUGAAGUCUCCGGCGGUGGAGAACCAAGGACUCUCAUUCAGGGAUGGGCGCUGCUCAUUUUGAAGCACACACUCUUUGUGUUCUUCCACCAAAGUGCUCUGAACCAUUCCUGCACCACAAGGCACCGUCGGCCUCUUCUUGCUUGCAGGGUUGCAAAUGAGCAAUACUCAGGCGGGUCCGCUUCUUUUUGCAAUCCUCAGGGUUGCCUGCAGUGCAGGUCAGCGGUCGCCAGAUGGCCUCAUUGCCCCACUUAGCAUAGCUGCACCAACAUUAAUUUGCUUGUGGUUAGCAAAUGAGGUGGGAGAAAAACACCCACCACCACCCUUCACUUGUCAGUAAUCCAGCCUGUCCCGCCAGCCGGGCAUUUUUUGCUGUGGGAGAGAGGGAUAUUUUCACUUCCAGCUCAUUGCCUCGGUGGCUUGUGCGAACUCUGGCUGACGGGGGAUUACAUCUUCCACUGAGCACCAGGCACAGGUGGGACACAAGUGGGACAGUUGUAGCCAAAUAUUCUCGUUAGAAGACUUAAAACUAAUGCAAUGUCUUUGCAGCAUCCCAGUGAGGGGCCAGCUGGAGGUCCUGAGCCUGAGGUGGCCAUAACUACGGCAGGCUGGAGAGGAAGUUGGUUUAAGGGCUGGCUGCAUAAAAAUGGCACGUGCUCUGUUGUGUUGCUUUAGGAAGGCACAGAUGGGGCUGAAGAGCUGGAGCAGGCGUGGAGCGGUGAGGAGAUGGGCCUUGCUGCGCACUGUGCAGUCUGGGGUGGGUGCGAGGAGCAAUCACGCUGAAGAGCCCCUUCAUCCAAGCGGUGUUUGAUGUUUGCCUCUAGGGAAGCAGCUGAGCAGGGCAGGAGGGCUCAGGAGGCCGUCUGGUCCACACUGCUGCUCGAGGCAGGAUCCCCCCGCUCUAAGCCAGGCCAGACAAGUUGGGGAAAUGCCUUGUGGGAUGUGAGGACCCUUCUAAAGUCACACCGAGGAGACUGGCUGGGGUGAGGCACACGCUUAGCUAUUUUCAUCCAGCUUUAUUCGGUGUGCCUUCAUCAGCAGGUAGGGCAGAGAAGACCAAGGGCUCGCUGGACCUCAACGGGUCACCUGAGAGGUGAUCCCUGUGUAACCAGAGGAGGGAUGCUGGUGCUGCCGCGCUCCCUCCUUGUGCACCACACUCCCGGGACUGUACGCACGCCACGACGUCUCUGCUUGCCUGUGGCCGUCUGCAGAGCGCUGUGGUGCCUGCUCCCUGCCCUGAGCACGUACACAACAGUGACACACGUGGACCCAGCCGGGAGCCUCUGAUACCAUGAGCAACACCAGCCUCCUGCACUACCACCAGCUCAUGGGCCAGGUGAGAUGGCAGCAUCGUCCAGAGCAUGGUUUUCCUUGCAGGCGAAGGCUGGAGGUGGGGAGGGGCUGCACUGGGUUCUGGUUUUGUGACAUUAGGACUUGGGGUGGUUUGCGUGCAAACUCGGCAUUUCUUCCUCUCACACAACCCACAGCAGGGCCUGUGUGCUCAAGUGCCCACUGGGCUGUCCUGCAGGCCCCCCCAGUCCAACACUGGGGAGCACUGGGGCCUCGGGACACCCACUGGAGGAGCUGCGGUUCCCCCAGAUCCCAGCAUAUGCACAGGGGCAGAGAACAGGGCUCAGGAUCUGCCCAGGAUGGUGAGCUCCCCCCUCACGGGCCCUCAUGGGUUAGGGGAGAAAAUGAUACCCCCAGCUCUUCAAACAGCCCUCCCCUCCUCUCCCCCAGAGCUCAGCUCAUACUGGGGGGCAGGUGGAUGGACUCGGACGAAACCCGAGGGGCAGCAAUCGCCCCUCAGGUCCCGCUUUCAUGAGGGGGGCAAGGACAGUGGCUCAGACUCCUCAUGGGUGCAGGGGGCAGAUCACCUGGGGUGGAGGGAGACCGGCUCAGACACACCAGUUACAGACAUCAUCCAUACCCUGCCACCCCCACAUUGCCCCACUCACCUCCUUUCCCUUGCCACAGCUCCUCUCCCCAGCCCCGCUUCUCCUUUGACUCUUACAGCCUUCUUCUGUCCCACAAAUAUUUGCCAGCACAAUUUAUCUCCUCUAAAUCCCCUUCUGCCACUCCUGGCUUGUGCCCCCUGAACAAAAUCUACCCUUUAGCAGAUGUGGAUUGGAGCAGGACCCCUUCCUUUUUAUUUGAAGAUUACUACCUGACACUGCCCAGCUGGCUUCUGCUCAGCUGCCUCUGCCUACCACCUGGCCCCGCUGGAAGGGCAUCCCCUCCAGGUCCCAUAAUGGUGCACAGGAAAUAUGGGUCAGACACCGAGUGAGAAGCAUCCCCUGUUCCCCUGAUCCUGGCAGGCCACAACACCCUUUCUGCUGCUCUGUCCAUAAAAAUGCAAAGCUUUCCAGCUGCUUUAUGAUUUCAGCCUGCAGUUGAAGAGUCCAGCAAUUUCUCUGACUAUCAUUUUUAAUUUUGCACUAGCUGGGAUAAACAUGGAGUGACUGAGACCAUUAGGACAUAAUCCCACCCUCUGGUCUGUACAAAAACCACGCUGGUUGCUCUGUCAGCCUUGCAGAAAUCUGCGUUGGUUCUCUGGAGGCUGUACCUGGGGACCCCCUGGAUCAGACGAUCCUGGAUGUGGCCCCUUCCUCUCCAUGAGCCGCACUGAAUCUGAAGUCAGUCCACCAAACACGUGGAUUGCAGAGCACUUAGAAGAGGAAGCCUCUAAACAGAGAGGGGUUUCCCAGCCUGGCAGAGCUGCCACUGUGCUAUAAUAAUGGAAAAACACCACCGAACAUUUGCAGGAGCUAUUUUCAGCAAUGUUAUUUUCCACUGCCUUAGCACUCAGCAUGAUGAAGCACUGCGAACAAGGAAAUGAGGAUACCCAUGGAGUGCUGUGAAGGCUUGUCACCGUUCAACGCAAGCCACCACUUAAUGAGAUCACGACCCUGGCAACCAAACCGCUUGGCUUACAAACAAAGUCAGGGCAUGGCAUUAUUUAAGAGUCGUCCUGCAGGAUGGGGGCUUGGGUGAGGCUGGGAUCAGGUCGUUCAGUCAGUGCCUUGAGAGAGUUCCUGCUGGAUGGUGGUGGCAGGCGUGUUUUCUCAGGGACAUUCAAUCAGAGCCUGCCAAAGGGCUGGAGUAAUGACAGGUUACGGCAGACGCCCAUGUUUCCUGAAAUGGAGGGGUUGCAGCAUGUGCCAGCGCUGUGACACACCUCCUGGCAUUUGAGAACGGGAAGAGGGUUUUUUUUCCCCCCAGUCUGCCCAGGAGGCAGCAGUGAAGGAGGCUUUUCCUGCUUGGCUGGAGUGGGAGUGUGCUCUGUUUUGCCCCAUAGGUUGGGAACUGGCAAAUUAUUACCAGACUUCCUUCUCUGCCAACUGGGAGCAGGGGCUUGAAAGCAGGACCUGCCCUAACCAUCAAGCCAAAGCAGGGGUGUCAAACAUACUGCCUGGGGGCUGGACCUGGCCUGAAGUCAUGUCAGGGUGCACAGGGGUGAGGCCUGCUGCCAAAACCCAGCGUACGGAGCCCCAUGGGGGUGCACGUUGCCUGUAGGAGAUGAACGACCGUGCAUUUACCUCUUUACUCUCCAGUGCCACUGUCUCCUGCACCUGCUACCACUGUUGGGUCUGGAUUUGGCCCUUGAGGAGACCUGUGGUUCAUAUCCAGUCUGGCAGGGCAGGUGAGUCUGACACCCCUGAGCUCUUCUCAGGAGAGUUCCCUCCCUGGGUCUCGUUGGAGCAAUCACAGUUGGUAUACGAAGCUAAUUAUGUACUGGAACAAAGACUUGCAGCACAGGACUCCCCAGUACGAGCUGGCUACUCCUGCCUGCCUACUUUAUCCAAGGACUAUUAAGUGCAAGGUGCAGAACAGCCCUGGAAGGUAGGAGCAGGGCCCUUCCUCUCCGUGGUACUGGCUCUCACUGAACUGCGGUCCCUCUGCCUUGCUGUUCUCCUGGCUCCAUCUGUCUUCCACGUUUGGCUGCCCAAAAGGCCAGCAUCACAGAAACCUUGGAGGGUGCCGCCCCACAGCCUGGUGGUGGCUGCACUUUCUUGAACAGCGAGAGGUGCAUGUUCAAACUCUCUGGCAGGGCCCCCCACUUCCUGGGCAAGAUCUUGCCCAAACCAUUGGGCUAAAAAGUGAGAGGGUCUUUCUGCUUCUGAGGCACAUUUUUUCCCCUUGACUACCACACUUCCGGGGACUCGUGUGGUUAAGCACCUAUGCAGGUGAUCAUACUCCACCCCAGAGCAUACGUGGCCAUGGCAGAGCUUUUUGAGUGUAUUGCAGAGGGGAAACAGGGCUGCACAGCUGGAAACAGGAUGUGGAGUCUGUGUAGUGCCCAAAAUAUCACUUGGGCAGCUACAUGUGGACACCUAAGUAGCACUUAAGCCAUGUAAGACUUGUUUCUCAGUCUGCAGCCCAGGACAAUUAUAGCACGAGACCUUUAUUAGGGGCACAGUUAUACUGAGAUAAAUGUGCUUCUGUUAGGUCAGGGCAGGAAAAGCUACACUUGAUUAAAGCACCAUGAUGCCAGUAUAACCAUGUCCACGUGCAGGCAGGAGUGGCAUGAGUAUGUGGGGAAGAAAAUCACGCUAUGUUAUUAUACUUGUGUGCACGCUUCAGAGCCCGGCCUAUUUCCUUUCCAGGAGACCAGUACUCAGCCAUUCAGAUGCAUUAAAAAAAUCUCUCCAACUGUCUCCGAUGUUAUCUGUUCCUGGCAGUCAGCUCAGGCUUUAUCUGCAAGCCUAUGACUGGCCUGCAGAUAAGUGCUCCUCUCCCUUGGACUAAUUCCAACUAGCAGCACAGAUCUGGAGGCUGGGCUGUGUCACCUGACAUCAGGGAUCAUAGCCGCCCUUUGCUUCUAGGCUAGCCAUGCCCUCCAGUGGUUUCUGAAAUAUAUUCUCACCUUAAUAUGCAGACCCCUCCCAUCCACCCUGGAAUGAGAAGUAAAGAGCAAUUGCACUGGCAUUUGCAAGUUCAAGACUGAAGAUGACAUACUGGCGUGACAGGACGUGCUUAUGAAUCAGGAUGCAGUAAAUGUAGAGGUUCCUCCUCCAGAUAGUGAGUCAGAGCUAGUUCAGCUCGGGUUCUCAAGCUUGCAGGUGGAUCUGUCAGGAGAAGCUGGAUCACUGGGACUUGCUGAUUUUUAAAAGCUGUAGAAGGCAAAGUGCAAUGAGCAGGACUUCAGUUACAGAGCCAGCUAUAAAGCUUUUUCCUCCUCAAGACUACAGUAAUUCUUCAGUGCCGGAGGGCUGUUCUGAUCUUUACGGUGGCUGGAGAGUCUAACUGUACGUCUUAUGUCGGCAGUAGGCCCUCACUCUUAUCACCUUCUAAGAUUGCUCGAUCUUCUCUUCCUCCCCAAGGCCUGUGCAGCCUGUCACUAGAGCACCUCGUGUUUCAAUACAGUGGCUGCAGGUGCCCAGAAGUGACACCUCACCCUCGUCCCGUGUGGAUCGUAGAGCAGAGCUGGAUGGAGGAAGUUGGCAAGAAGUUUCUGCAGAAGUUCACACAGCUUUUCUCACCAGCCAGCUGAUUUUGUAGGAUUUUUUGCCCUUUCUCCUCAUGUUUGCAUUUCAAAACUUAGCAGAGAAUGGUGAUACUUGAACCUGCAACAUCAGGGUUGUAGAUUUUCAAGACAAUACCAUAGAGCCUGUCCACUUGGAAACCUUAUGCUCCCUGUCUGGGUAACCAAAGGUGAUUAUACAUGUGCAGUGAGGUUGAAUUAACUAGGGCACGGGGGUGGCUAUACAAAAAUGAAAACAAUAUUCAGUGGAGUCAUUUUCCAAUGUGGACCUGAAACUGUGGCUCUCCUGCAUUUUGUCCUUGUGCUCUUUCCUGCCUGUUCCAUUCCCAGGUGCAGAUUUCCAAGGGAAGGGAGCUUGGAGGUUUCAAAACAUCUGGGUGCUAAAAAAAAUGUGUAAAUUUUUCUGGAACAUUUUCCAAGGUUGUUUAAAAGUGCUGUAGUGUCAAAGAAGUUGUGCACAUUCAAACAAGCAAGUUCCCUAAAAGACACGUAAUUUUGUCAGCAUUUUAGGAUGAUGAGACUCCAAGUAAAUACAUCAAGAACUCUGAAUCAUUGAAUCACAGGGUUGAAAGGGACCUCUAGGCUCUUCCGGUCCAGUCACCAACUCAAAUACGGGAAUGCUUUUCUCUCUCUUCUUUAUGGCAGGCUUUCAGAUACUUGAAGCCUGCUCCCACUGCCCUUUUAUUACUUUUUCUCCAAUUUAAGGCAUGAUAGAUGCUAGGGUCGGAAGGGACCUCAACAGAUCAUCGAGUCCAACCCCCUGCCUAGGAUGACCCCAGCCAGAUGCCUAUCCAGACUUCUCUUAAAGACCCCCAAGGUAGGGGACAGCACCACCUCCCUUGGAAGCCCAUUCCAGAUUUUAGCCACCCUUACCUUGAAGAAGUUUUUCCUGAUAUCCAGCCUAAAUCUGCUCUCUGUCAGUUUGUGACCAUUGUUCCUUGUUACCCCAAGAGGUGCCCUGGUGAACAGAGCAUCUCCGAUCCCUUGCUGCAUCUCCCUAAUCAAUUUAUAGGCAGUCACAAGAUCACCUCUCAGUCUUCUCUCGCGGAGGCUGAAGAGGUCCAGGUACCAUUAAUCAGUUAAUGUGUAGAAAAUACACUGAAAACAGGGAAUGUCACAAAAAAUGCCAAGUGUUGCCUAUUACCAGCCUCCCAUGGACCUCCCUUCACCCACCCCCCUUCACCACACUCUACAUCAGGUUGAUGGAAUAGCUGGGUGGUGGAGGGAUCCUUGUGCCUCCACAUGGUCCAUAGUUAUUUCUUUUAUAGACGGGUGCCAGGAACAUGUGAUGUCAGAGGUUUUGUCCCCAAGCAAAGCAAGGAAGGAGAGCAGCAGAGUACAAACCUUGGACUUCAGAAAAGCAGACAUGGGCACCUUCGGAGAGGCUGGGAAUUUCUACAUCAAAGUAAUGCAGGCGGCCUGAGCAGCUUCAUGCUCCCUGGAGACAGGAGCUGUUCUCCAAGAAACACAGAUUAUUGAUCAACCAAGCUAACAUGGAAGGUUUUCACAUCAAUGCCUCCCUUGCCAGGCACACGACAGAGCUCUCAUUUUCUCCCAGUUGAGACCAGCAUCCUCCAGCAGCCAGUGUGGGAGCACUUCUUACCGGAGAGAGCUCAUGUGUCUCUGAUGCCACCAGGCCAAGGAGAAGCCAGUGCCAUUGCAGGAAGCCUAUGACAUGACCAUUACGUAUAGUCACCGUGAUUGGCCUGAGGUCUAAGCAGCGACUUCCAAGCUCACCAGAGAGAGAAGACGCCUGGUUUCUCUGUAUUCUUACUCAGUAUCACUGAGUUAUGGACAUGAGACUGGCAGACCACAAGGCCCAAACCAAACAGGUACACCCUCCCAAAGACUUUCUUGUGCCACUUAGUGCUACCCCAUGGAUAAAUAGGACUGGAAGAGACCACCGGGGCCAAUGAAUGUGGUAUUUGAAGACAGCCAUGCUGGAGAAUUCCCCUCACAAACUGACCAAGAUCACUGGGAAUCUCACUGCAUCCUCCUUUUCCCGUGGGAGGCAGCAUCCUGUCUGCCCGUGGCGCUUGCCUGGUCCCUCCUCUGUCACCUUGUCCUGGAAGACCGGUAUCAUUGCUCCGCCUUCCCCGCUGCUGAGGGUGAUAAUAAGAAGCUCUGUGUCCUUUGCACUCCAGUCCCUUCCCCUGGCCCUACUCCCGCAUGGGGGAGUCGGCUGCCAGGAUCACCAGGACACGAGGAGCAGGGAGCGAGGCUAAUCACACUCUCUCAGCAUGUGGCAGCUGUGCACAUUAGCCCCCCAG